ensembl:lncRNA
CUUAAGUCCUAGAGGAGAGUGAAUUCAUGGUCUCACUAUACAACUUAGUAGCUAGGUAAUUUCAGUUUCGCAUCUGAAAGCAAAUAUAGAUCAGCUGUAAAGUUUAGUUAUGACACUAUCUGAAACCCUUGACAUUUAGUAGGUGUUUAAUAGAUGUUUGUGGGCCUGGAAUUUACCCUAUGGCUAACUCCCUUUCACAAAGCCAUCUAUGUGGUGAUCAUUUCAUGCAGGGGUUGGCAAACUACAGCUGCAGGCUAAAUCCAGCCCAUAACCUGUCCUUGUAAAUAAAGUUUUAUUAUAACACUCCUGCUCGUAUCCUUUUAUGCGUAGUCCAUGUAGUUGUGGCAGAGACCGUGUGACUCACAAAGUCUAAAGUACUAUCUGGUCUUUUAUAGGGAAAGUUUGUCACACCUAGAUCUAAUACAAUGACUGUAUUUUCUGUCAACUCCCCAUAACACAGAACCAUCUAAGAUAGCCAUUCAGGUGUGUGUAGCUGAAGAUGGCAAGGUUGAGGCCUCGUGAAUGAGCUUGCAUGAAACCAGAACUGAUGAAGUUGUUUUGGCUCCCCGGAGGAGACCUGGAAUGGAGCUUGCAAUAGCUUUGCCUGCCUGCCUGUCCUGUGGCUCUGCCCAGCUUCUUCUGUCUUUCCCAGAGGAGAAGAAUAGUUGUGAGUGCUUCUUCACACUCCACAGGCUGGGACAGCAAGCCACGCCCUCCUUCUCUUUCUCUCUUUCCAAGGGUCAGAGCAUCUUCAGGCAAGAGCCCCUCAUUUCCUAGCAAAAUCCUACACUUUGGGGAACACUUAUUUUCUUGAAGAUAAUCUACCAUUAAAGGUCUUGAAUGUUUAAAGUAUUGAUUAUUUUAAUGUUUUCCAGCUUUAUUGAGGUGUAAUUGACAAAAUUGUAUAUAUUUAAAGUGUACAAUAGGAUGAUUUGAUACAAGUAUACAUUGUGAAAUGAUUGUCACAAUCAAGUUAAUUAACAUAUCCAUCACCUCAUAUACUUUUUUUUCUUUUUUUAUUUCUGGUGAGAAUGCUUAAAAUCUACUCUCUUAGCAAGUUUCAAGUAUACACUAUAGUAUUAUUAACUAUGAUCACCAUAUUGCACUUUAGAUACUCAGAACAUAGUCAUCUUAUAACUAUAAAUUUGUAUCCUGUGACCAAUAUCUUCCCAUCCCCACCCCCCAAUGCCAACCCCUA